UUGUUGGAGCAUUGUCCAGUGUGUAAUCCUUGUGAAGCUCCGAAGGUGGGAUAGCUACUGUGUGCGGAGUGUGCUAGUGGUGAGCCGCAGGUGGCUCGUUUCAUUCGAUGAUGGAGGCAUUGGCGCCGGAGGUGCGGCGGCGCUACGGUGAAGGAUCAAGACUGAGUGCGGUGACAUUGUUGUCAAGAUCGGAUUAGUGGUUGUGUACGGAAGCCACUGCUGCAUUCGAUUUUUUGUGAUCAUCGAAGGCACUGAUCUAUCUUCCUUGUUGGUUACGGUGCAAGGCGGCAGCGAAAGUGUGUGUUGUAGAGCGGUGCUUUGGAUCUUGUUGUUCAUAUUGCUCUUCUCGUUACCUGACAACGGUGUGGUUCUACUGAUGCUGCUGCGGAUCUUAAAGAAAUGAGCUACUGUUUUUUUCCGUUGGUGGUGUAGCCACUGAAUGGUGUUCGGCGGUGUUAAGCUACACUGGUUGCAGUGUGUUGUGGUGACGGUAGUGGUGUUGCUGCAAUCUUGGUGGCCACACUUUUCCUAUUCCGUUUUGGUGGCCGAUACUCCUAGUGCGGCGACGCAGAUUUUGUAUCCUCUUCCUUGCAAUUGUGCAGUUGGAGCGGAAUCUGGUUUCCCUCGUAUUACUGUUUCCAUCAAGGAAGGCUGCUCGUCACUAAAAAUGGCAUUGCUCUCUAGGGCGUUCCUUUCAUGUUGAUGGUUCAGUGGCACUGUGGAUUAUCGACGAUUCUUGUUACUGGCAUCGUCAUCAAUUAGUCUCAUUUGGCGGUCGUGAUCGGAGUGUCCCUAGAGUAAUGUAAAUUGCAUGAUAUUGCGGAAUAUUGUAAUCAAAUUCUGAAGUGUUUGUUGCACGGAUGCGUGCUUGAAGAACUUCCAAAGGAAUCAUCUUCAGAUUAAGUCCUGCGGUGCAGUGCCGUCAACUUGACUGGUGGUCAAUUUAAUUUGGCUCUUGUCAUCAUUCUCUUCUGGUUGCGGUGCUCGUUCCUCUCCGACGGUUGUUGGCUUCGUUUGAUUCGACCAUCGUUGGAGUUCCAAUCAUCGUCGUCACCUUCAGUCGAUCGGCACUCUAGGUGCCCUGGCCGUGUUGGAAGCGGAAGUUCCUCGUGAGGCAAGCACUGCAGUUACAGCGUAGUAGAAAAUUUACGUA
rnacentral:lncRNA from 1 species